UUGGAGACGAUAUAGUGAUUGUGGCGGCUUACCGGACUCCAAUUUCCAAAGCUAAGCAAGGAGGGUAUAAGGAUACUCCAGCUGAUGAUUUACUUGCAGUUGUUUUAAAGGCCAUGAUAGAGAAAACAAAUCUGGACCCAAGUGAAGUUGGGGAUAUAGUUGUUGGUACUGUUUUGCCACCUGGUUCACAAAGAGCAACAGAGUGCAGAAUGGUAGCAAUCUAUGCUGGUUUUCCUGGUAAGUUUUCACUUUUAUUUUUUCAGCUGCACCUUUUAUGAGUUUUUUCCAAUGGUAUAUAGUUUAUGAGUCUACUUUAAUAUCAGACUAUAUUAAGUUUUUUUUUCAUUAUGUUGUCUUUCAUCAUAUAGUGAUUUUCAUAUUUUAUGUGUUUUGUUAGUACAUUUUAAUGGGCCACUUAGCAAAUCUAGUUCUCAUGCAUGUUACAAGUAAUAGAAAAGCUUGGUCUUCUAAACAAUUCUAAGUUUGAAUUGUUAAGGAUUUACUAGUAUAGUAGUCUUUCGUGAUCAUUUCCUUUUCAAGACUUAAUCAUUGGCUAUAAAUGACUCAUAAUUUUAUAAUUGCUUGUAUUUUUUUGAUUUCUUCUUUGUCUGACUCACGUACUCAUAAAUGCUCUAUAUGAAUCUAAUUAUUGAUAGUAAGGGUUUAGCUACAACAAUGUAUUCCUUGAGCACUUAAAUUUUUUCCAAAAUGGAUUCAUUAUCACUUAAAAUUCGAGGCUUGCUUAGAUUUCAUAAUUACAUGGUAAUAUUUUUUUAAUAUAUAUGUAUGCUUGACCAUA